ensembl:snRNA U4 U4 spliceosomal RNA
AGCUCUGUGCAGUGGCAGUAUCGUAGCCAACGAGGUUUGUCCGAGGGGUGAUCAUUGCUAAUUGAAAAUGAACAGCGCAAGGCAGUGGACCUUGUGAGGAGUAGAGAUAUUUUCACACACCUGGCGACAGA